GUUCGCAAACAAGAAAAAAUCUGCGGAUGCUGGAAAUACACACAAAAAUGCUGGAGGAGCUCAGACAGCAUCUACGGAAAAGAGUAAACAGAAAAUGUUUCAGGCCGAGACCCUUCAUCAGGACUGGAGAAACAGAAGACAAAAAGUCGGCAUAAGAAAGUGGGGAAGGGAAGAGCACCUGAGGGAGGUGAUAGGCAGAUUUGCUUCAUGGAUACCUCUUUAUGAUAGGCUUUAUUAGCCUGCUCGGUGAUUCCAGUUUCCAGGAUGCCAGAGAUCACCUAUAGAUGGCAAUUGUCUAAAAAUAAUGGAAAGAUCGAGGAAGUUAAAGUUACAACGCUGACUGAAUAUUUACUGUCAACUUUCAAGUUUGAGUUUAUUGUCAGUCAACCGUACAACUGAGUGCAGCUAAAUGAGACAUCAUUCUUCUAGGGCCAAGCUGCAAAACACAGUACAUAUAGCUAUGAUCCAGUCACAAAAUAUUAGCACAAGUUUGUGGCACGGCCUGACGACUGACAGGUUGACAUAAAGUGUGAGGUGAAUGUUUAUGGAAGAAGGUAUAAUGUUACUGAUACUAUUAUAAUAAAAACAAACAGUAGUAUAAAUUUGUGAAACAGCCACAGUGCAGGGUGAGAGUGUAUCUCUGAAUCGGGGAGUUGGCAGGGGAUUCAGACAUGUGUGCUGAGGGGCAGCAGGGUCUUUCUGUAAGUUUAACAAUUAAUGUGGUUUCUCCAUUACCAAACUCAGAAUCUAGGCUAAUGUUUUUUUUUGAAGUAUGAUGAAUGAGAAACUGCUAUUGUGAUACUGUAAGCUACCGGUCUGCAAAAAAAAAACUGUUGCAGCAAGAUAAAAAGCAAAUGACUUUAAGGUGCAGAGAAGUAUAGGCGAUGCAAAAAAAAAAAUCAAUCAGAACAGGAAAAGAUAAAUGAACACAAACACUUUACACCAUCCUCCACUC